UACGAACUGUGCAAACGUUAUUCGGAAUCACUGGGCUUAAAGGGUGCGUAGGCGGCCGUUUAAGUAGGGUGUGAAAGCCUGGAGCUCAACUCCAGAAUUGCGCCCUAAACUGGACGGCUCGAGUGAGAUAGGGGUGUGUGGAACUUCCGGUGGAGCGGUGAAAUGUGUUGAUAUCGGAAGGAACGCCGGUGGCGAAAGCGACACACUGGAUCUUAACUGACGCUGAGGCACGAAAGCCAGGGUAGCGAACGGG
rnacentral:rRNA from 1 species